AAUAGAUUCAGCAGUGCAUGUGACUCCUGACGAACAUCCCGUUAAAGAGUUACGUUUGCAUUGCGACAAAUUUAUAGCCGCCUCUCGAUCGCCCUGAUAUUUGAUAACAGCGGUAUAACUUUGCACACGACCAACUUCAAGACAUUCUAUUUCUAGUAUUCUCUGUAGUCACCUGACGGACUUACUGACAAGUCAACAGACGGAUCAAACCAUCAAACACACUUUUGCUCUCUUAAAAAAAGCUCAAGGAUCAAAUAAUACCUAAAGGAAAUGAUAAGGAAAUCAUCUAAGGCAAUGUGGUGACAAUCAACGGGUCGUUGAGUGGUGAUUCCGGGGCCACUUAUCGAAUGGAUCUAUCAUAAUAAAAAUAAUUAAUUUUACUGAAUCGUGAGCAAUCGGCUAUAGACGUUCGGACAGGCUCGAGUGGCGCACGAUCGGCGAACGCGCAAAUAUUGGCCAAAUCAAUUGUCGGCGGAAAUGAAGCAAUCAAGUCAAAAGGUUUAUCUCGCUCUAGUGACUCGGUUCUCCGUUCUCCGUUUUCCGUUCUCGGUUCUCAAUUCUCUAUUCUCAGUGCGGCGACCAACUGACCAACAGACGUCACCUCCAUUUGCAUAUCAAAAUAACGUACAAGUCGCAGCUAUCAAUGGACGGGGACACGUUUGACAAAAAAGCCAAUAGAAAAUAAAAAACCCACGAAACCAAGACAGGGAGAAGUGUACCGAAUGCUGUUUGUUUACCGAGAAAACAUCGCCAUCUAGAUGUGUGGGCUCGCAUUAAGUGGAUACAUUCGUAUGUGUGCACUUGCAUGACUGCAAGUUCUUGGAAACUUCCACAAAAUAAAAAGAUUUAUAAAUUAGUUUUUCGUUGAAUAGCAAGCACUAUUAUCUAAGAUACCAAGUUUACUUAUUUGUUGUGCAAUUAUGCUCUUAUAUAAAUAACAUCUCGAAAACUGUUGCGCAACUUAAUUGCAAAGAAGGAGCACGGAAUGAGCUUUUGACAGAAAUGAUUAUUUCAUAAUUUAACUGAAAUUGGGAAGUCAGUGGAAUACUAAUGAAUUCUCAAUUUAAAAUUAGAAUAAACUUGUGGAAGUCAGCUUAUAUAGACAAAGUAUUCUUAAUUUGAAAUCUUCCCAACCCAUACUUUUUUUAUUGGUAAGAAAGCAUAAAUUAUAGAGUUAGAAACAAAAUGAAAAAUAAUGAAUUUAAACGAUUAUUUUUUUUUUAACUUUAGACUGGAUCAUUAGUGU